rnacentral:lncRNA from 1 species
GCACAGAACAUCCCACCUUGUGUAAAACAUGGCUUGGUUCUCUCAGCUUUGCCAAACAGGAGCGGCAUUCUACUAUCAACGUCGGCUUUGUACCUGGCACAAGUCUGUGGGGACAUACUAGAAAGGCUCUCAGGCAUGACUUAGAAGCCCCCAUCAGAGCAAGAAAAUUUUAGGAUAUCGUUGCCCCCUCUCUGCUUUGUCUAGCUAUGGUCAAAUCUUGGUUUUUACUUUUUUUUUUUCUGGAACUUUCCAAGGGCUCUUCAUGGAGGUUCAGGGGAUCCUGAAACUGGAUGGUGGUGGUAAUGGUGGUGAUGAUAAUGGUGAUGGUGAUGGUUGAAACAGGUCUUACUAUAUAGCCUUGGUUGGCUUCAAACUCACAGAGAUCUGCCUGCACAUGCCUUCCAAGUCCUAGGAUAAAAAACCUGAACCACCAUGCUGUCCUGAAACUGUAUUUCUGAGGCUUAAUUACAGGAUUACUUUAGGCUCCAAUUAACUAGGGAAACAUGGACAGAGCCUCAAUAGUGACCUGUAGCUUAUAAAUGAGUUUUCUGUUUCCUUCUUUCUCCUGUGUAGCUCAGCAUCCGUGCUUAGGACUCUUUGGUCAACACUCAUAUGUUGAAACCCACGUGUUGGUUCUCAAACCAUAAAGACUGUGGCUCAUUACAAGGAAGUUUAAAAGUACUGAGCGAAAGGAAACCACACAAACACCAAAGAACAAAGCGAAACAAGACAAAAUUCUCCUGCCUGAAGUUUUCUCUGACUGUGUGUAUACAGGUUGGAAAUACUUGACAAAAUAAACGUGAGAUGUGCUUUGGAAGCUGGGGGCUGGCUGGCUGGCUGGCUGGCUACGUCCCUGUUUAGCCACAAAGAACCCACUUCAUUAGUAAACAUCCUAGUAUAUUUCUAAAAACAUAAGGAAUUAAAAGAAGAGGCUCCUGGAAAAGCCGUUAAAAUGUUCUCCAAAUAGCCAACUUCUAUAACUGCAGCCACAUUUGCAGGUAAAUAACAGUAACCACCAGCACCAAUCCUGAGAUGUGUCAAUCACCGAAAGGGUGCCGCUGACACCACUCCACCUUUCCACUGACUGACACCAUGAGAGCGGGUGCCGUUAAUCCUGUCUUAUAAACGGGCAGUACGGAGUGGUAUAUCGGUUGCACCUCUUAUUUCUGGGACCAAAUACCAGACAGGAAGCAACUAAGGGAAGGACUUAUUUCUACUCACAGCUCAAAGAUGCCCAAGCCCAUCAUGGUAGAAGAUGGCUGCAGGAGCUGAAGGCAGCUGGUCUUACUGCAUCUGCAGUUAGGAGGCAGAGAGAUGACUGGUACUCAGCUCACUUUCUUCUUUGUAUUCAGUCUUGGAACUCCAGCCUGUGGGCCGGUGUUGCCUGUAUUCUGGAUGAGUCCUCCCACCCUAGUUAAAGCUCUUUGGAAACACCCAAGCACCUGUUUCCAUGGUAAUUCUAAACCGAAUCAAUUGACCAGGAAGGUUAACCACCAAAGACGGGUAACCAGACUUGCUCAAAGUCAUGCAGCCAGGCCUCACCAACCUGGGGCUCCAGCCUACCCCAGGCAGUCUCAGGACACCCUCUUCUCUGUAAGCUGCCCUGCCUCCACAGAGCAUCUUGAGAAACCGGUAUCCUAGGACACACCUGUCUUCUUUUUCUGUCAAGCUAAAUGUUCCUGUUCCCUUUUGGCUGCUGCUUCCACGGGCUAAAGAGGCUCCGAAUGGAUGAGAACAGGUUUUGAUUAAUUAGGUUUUUGUUGCCAAGGAAUUAAUUUGGUUCUCCACCCCCUCCUCCUGCUCAAAA